UACGUAGGGUGCGAGCGUUGUCCGGAAUUACUGGGCGUAAAGAGCUCGUAGGUGGUUUGUCGCGUUGUCCGUGAAAACUCACAACUCAAUUGUGGGCGUGCGGGCGAUACGGGCAGACUGGAGUACUGCAGGGGAGACUGGAAUUCCUGGUGUAGCGGUGGAAUGCGCAGAUAUCAGGAGGAACACCUGUGGCGAAGGCGGGUCUCUGGGCAACAACUGACGCUGAGGAGCGAAAGCGUGGGGAGCGAACAGG
rnacentral:rRNA from 1 species